rnacentral:rRNA from 1 species
CAAUAGCGUAUAUUUAAGUUGUUGCAGUUAAAAAGCUCGUAGUUGGAUUUCGGGUAGGAUUUGCCGGUCCGUCUUUGAGAUGUGUACUGGUAAGUCCUAUCUUCUUGUCGGGGACCAGCUCCUGGGCUUCACUGUCCGGGACUGGGAGCCGACGAAGUUACUUUGAGUAAAUUAGAGUGUUCAAAGCAAGCCUACGCUCUGAAUAUAUUAGCAUGGAAUAACACGAUAGGACUCUGGCUUAUCUUGUUGGUCUGUGAGACCAGAGUAAUGAUUAAGAGGGACAGUCGGGGACAUUCGUAUUUCAUUGUCAGAGGUGAGAUUCUUGGAUUUAUGAAAGACGAACUUCUGCGAAGGCAUUUGUCAAGGAUGUUUUCAUUAA